GUGACUCAUUGUGUCUGUGUCGAGGCGUCGGGAGGGCCUAAGUCCGUGUGCGGUGCCCUUCGGCCGGCCUGAGCCCCAGAGUCAGCUCCCCUUUCUCGCCCAGCGCCCCCAGGCCGCUCCCGGGGCUCACGGAAUAGUAAAGAAACACAUCAUAAAACCUCCCAGGACAUAAAGGUGAGCACAGACCCUGUUUGGAUCAAGUCAGUUCCUGGAGCCUGAAUGAUGACUGCUGAAUCACGGGAAGCCACGGGUCUGUCCCCACAGGCUGCACAGGAGAAGGAUGGUAUCGUAAUAGUGAAGGUGGAAGAGGAAGAUGAGGAAGACCACAUGUGGGGGCAGGAUUCCACCCUACAGGACACGCCUCCUCCAGACCCAGAGAUAUUCCGCCAACGCUUCAGGCGCUUCUGUUACCAGAACACUUUUGGGCCCCGAGAGGCUCUCAGUCGGCUGAAGGAACUUUGUCAUCAGUGGCUGCGGCCAGAAAUAAACACCAAGGAACAGAUCCUGGAGCUUCUGGUGCUAGAGCAGUUUCUUUCCAUCCUGCCCAAGGAGCUCCAGGUCUGGCUGCAGGAAUACCGCCCCGAUAGUGGAGAGGAGGCCGUGACCCUUCUAGAAGACUUGGAGCUUGAUUUAUCAGGACAACAGGUCCCAGGUCAAGUUCAUGGACCUGAGAUGCUCGCAAGGGGGAUGGUGCCUCUGGAUCCAGUUCAGGAGUCCUCGAGCUUUGACCUUCAUCACGAGGCCACCCAGUCCCACUUCAAACAUUCGUCUCGGAAACCCCGCCUCUUACAGUCACGAGCUCUUCCUGCUGCCCACAUUCCUGCACCCCCUCAUGAGGGUAGUCCCAGAGACCAGGCGAUGGCAUCUGCACUAUUCACAGCGGAUUCCCAGGCAAUGGUGAAGAUCGAGGACAUGGCUGUGUCCCUCAUUCUGGAGGAAUGGGGAUGUCAGAAUCUGGCUCGGAGGAAUCUCAGUAGGGACAACAGGCAGGAGAAUUAUGGGAGCGCAUUUCCCCAGGUGUGAUUCCAAUACACUGCUUUGUGUAAUUCCACGAACUUGCACCUGGACUGUCCUUGUGAUGAGGAUUCCCAGCUUCCAAACUUAAUGGUGAUUUUCUAUGAAGAGCUCUGGGUCCUGGAUGUGUAGUAAGAACGAGGAAGUUCAAGAGGCAUCAGCCAGAUAAGACAAGGUGACACUGUUGGCAGACAUUUCCAUUUGUCUCUGCUGGAUCUUAACCCCUCAGGACAGUGCUGCAAAGAAGCCCUCACGUGGUGAAAACAGGAAUGAGAACGAGGAGUCAACCUCAAAGGCUGAAACCUCGGAAGAUUCAGCAUCACGCGGGGAGACAACAGGAAGAUCCCAGAAAGAGUUUGGAGAGAAACGUGACCAGGAGGGCAAAACAGGAGAAAGACAGCAGAAAAACCCUGAGGAGAAAACCAGGAAAGAGAAAAGAGAUUCAGGGCCAGCUAUAGGAAAGGACAAAAAAACCAUCACAGGAGAGAGAGGUCCAAGGGAGAAGGGGAAAGGAUUGGGAAGAAGCUUCAGUCUGAGCUCCAACUUCACCACCCCUGAAGAAGUUCCCACGGGAACAAAGUCUCACAGAUGUGAUGAAUGUGGUAAAUGCUUCACGAGAAGUUCAAGCCUUAUCCGCCAUAAAAUAAUCCACACUGGAGAAAAGCCCUAUGAAUGUAGUGAGUGUGGGAAAGCCUUCAGUCUUAACUCCAACCUUGUCCUGCAUCAGAGGAUCCACACAGGAGAGAAACCUCAUGAAUGUAACGAGUGUGGCAAGGCCUUCAGCCACAGUUCCAAUCUCAUCCUCCAUCAGCGCAUCCACUCUGGAGAGAAACCUUAUGAAUGUAAUGAGUGCGGGAAGGCCUUCAGCCAGAGCUCGGACCUCACCAAGCAUCAGAGAAUUCACACGGGGGAGAAACCCUAUGAAUGUAGUGAAUGUGGAAAAGCUUUCAACCGAAACUCAUACCUGAUUUUGCAUCGGAGAAUUCACACUCGAGAAAAGCCCUACAAGUGCACUAAGUGUGGCAAGGCCUUCACCCGCAGCUCCACCCUCACUCUGCAUCACAGAAUCCAUGCCAGAGAGAGAGCCUCUGAGUACAGCCCAGCCUCCCUUGAUGCAUUUGGCGCGUUCCUGAAAAGUUGUGUGUAAAGGAAGAAUUUGCCAUCAAGCCAUUUCCCCCUUUUGUUUCUAAAAUUAUUUCAGAGAUGUGUGCUCCUGGAGGGAAAAAGAAAUACAGCCUCAACAGAUUAAAAAACAAAAGUCACACUUAAGGAUCCUUCUAGUCACAUCAGCAGUGUUCUGCCUUUAUGUAGUAGUUGGGCAUAUAAUCCUUCCACACAGCCCCUGCAGGGAAAGGCUAAUCUUACGGAUAAUCCACGUGAGAUUUCCACACAAGAGAAAAGCACACGCAUAGUGAAAUGUCAGUCUUUUCAGUAAUGAGGAUACCUUUAAGGCACUCUUGGACUCUCGGCAACCACAACAUAAUAGUUGAAAGAUCAAGAUUGGCUCCACGAAAGUGAUACGGAGGUUAGGAUGCUACUUGCUGCAAACAAGCCCUACUUUGGCCAACAUCCUGCUUAUUUCUCAAAAAAGAGGGACAGUGAAAACAAAAACGACAUUGGGACAUGCUGCUCAAGGUAGUUAUAUAUACGAUAAGUUGUAUAUAUGAUCACUGGUAGCCUACCAAAGCUGUAGAAAUCUAGGACUGUGCUAAUCAGUAUCAAACCAAAGAUUUCUAUCUCUUCCCGAAAGAGAGGGUAUGUGCACCAGUCUACAGUUCCAAAGGACUGCAACAAAUGUAGAUGGUUCUGUCCUCAUCCCUGAGAUCAGUUCUACUGAAAUGGCAACAACAACUCCAAAUACAUCUCUCCCUUCUUGAAAUCCCUAAAGCACUAUCGCACUCCUAAAUGCAUUUCUCCACAAGUUAGCACUUGAUUGUAUACUGUCUUUUAAUCCUUCAUUGUUUCAUGUAUGAAGUUUUUAAUCACCCCCUAACCCCCAAAAAAGAUUCGGUUGUCAAGGGAUAUAUUUCUAUCCCUGCCAGCACAGUGCUGGACAUAGUGAGUACUGAACACCUAAGAGGCACUCAUUCAGACUGACUUCUACAGGACUUCUACGUGUGUGAUAAAAGCCUGUGAAUCGUGAGUCCCUGAAAUAUGGUAGCCUGGCCCAGCUUCUAAAGAGGACCUUCGUAGCCACAAGGCAUGCUAAACCUCUAGGGUCUGAUGCUGUUUUUGUUCCAAAUAUAAACGAAAGGCACUAGUCAGCCGCCUGCAUAGACUUUCUAAACAGUGAGUAAAUACCAUGGAAUGUCAGAAAUGACUUUAUCAUCGUCAUCUUGAAGAAAAAUAUGAACACUGAUGAAGGUCAUUUUUUUUUUUUGACAUCUUUCUGUGGCAAAGCUCUUAGAAUUCUUUGCAGUUAGCUGCUGAACAGUAUGAUGAUUUGGGGAUUUUCUGAAUCAUUUGUACUUAGAUACUGGAGUUCAGAAGAUGUGAUUUUUGUUGCUUUUCAGAAAAAGGAACGUGGUAGGGAGUGUUUUUUCCCACGCUUUUCCAGUAACUUUGCAAAAGCAUUAAUUGUUCACUGGCAAUUACUAAAUGUAUUUUGUUGCUCUGAGAAACUCAGCAGUGUACUGAGAUGUGGCUGGCUGUGCCAUCGUCAUAGUGCACAGUGACUUUUCUGUUUCUUAUCACUAAAGACUGAGGUGAGGUUAUGAAACUUUCAUUGGUCCCAUCGUUGUGCGCAGGGUGCAACUGGCUACCUAGAAGCUGAUGGCAGGAGACUGUUUCACACACAGGAGAUUGUGAGCUGUGUAAGUAGUCAUCGCCACUCAAGUAGGACAAGGGUCCUACCCAAGGCUAGGACCGCCCUGCGGAAACAGAAACAUAGACUGAGAACAAACCUCAAGACUAUCAGUGUGACCUCCCCAUAACAAGAGAACCCCAUAUAUAGUUUGAGACUUUCCCUUGAGAAACUUAUACUAAAACUAUUACUCAUCAGUCAUUCACUGAUCAGCAGCUAAAGUCCAUGAGACCAAAUGGUUUUAUAUGGAACCAACGAAGUGGGAGCUAAAACUGCACAGUGGUCAUUCUUUGGCCUCUCCUUGGCUUUAUGACUUAAACCAACUACAACUUCCCUAUAGCUUCUAAGCAGUUUCAUCAGCAUUACUUGGGAAAACGUGUUGCAAGUCAACCAGUCACUAGGAUAUUUCUACCCAUGCAACGGAAGAAAAACCCAUUACUCCAGAAGAGUAUAUCUAAGUAACUAAAAUGGAGGCAGAAAAUGUUUUAAGGAUUUUCUUCAAAGAAUAAGCCACAGCAAUGGUUUUGUAGAAAACUCCUGUGCUUUUGAGCAAGGACUUUUGCCCUCUAGAAAGCAACUGAGGCCAGGUGCGGUGGCUCACGCCUGUAAUCCCAGCACUUUGGGAGGCCGAGGUGAGCGGAUCACCUGAGGUCAGGAGUUUUGAGACCAGCCUGGCCAACAUGGUAAAAUCCCGUCUCUACUAAAAUUAUAAAAAUUAGCCGGGCAUGAUGGUGGGCACCUGUAAUCCCAGCUACUUGGGAGGCUGAGGCAGGAGAAUCACUUGAACCCAGGAGGCAGAGGUUGCAGUGAGCCAAGAUUGCACACUGCACUCCAGCCUGGGUGACUAGCAAAACUCCAUCUCAAAAAAAAAAAAAAGAAAGAAAGAAACUGAAAAGUGAGGUGUGGAACUCCAGGCAACGACCCAAGCACUUAUUUUUUAAGAGGGAAAGGACUUUGGUCAUGUUUACAUUGGCCUUUGGUUUUUUUUUUUCUUUCAGCCACAACUAUAUGCUGAUAUAACUCAGCCAUCACUUUUGAGUUUUGUUUUUAAAUGAAGGUUAAAUGUGACCUGUGCCCUCACAUUUAAUUCCGUUUCAUGGAGACAUCUUCCUGACUUUGUUGGAUAGCUGCCACUAGGGUUGCUUCGAUCUUCAGCCACAUGCUGUCCUUGAAGCAGCUAUUUGAAGAUGUGUUUUCUGAGGAAAACAGGCUACAACUGUUUAUUAAAACCACUUGCAGUGCAUUCGUUUAUCAGAUGCUCAGUGCAAAGUGUAAUUGGGUCAUGGUCAAAAACGCUUGCAACAUCUAAUUGGCGUUCAAGAUAGUCAUUCAAAAGUUCUUGGCCCGCUGAAGUCUGUUAACAGUUGAAACAUUCUACAGUUAACCAUUAGCAUGCUAGUUGUCCUAAUGGAAAUUUUUGAAGAGUUUUUCAAUAUAUACCCUACCCUUGCCAGGAAGAGAAGUAAAAUCCUCAGGUUGUGGGGUAUUUGUUUCUACUCCAGCCUGGCAGGCAAGGCUAAAACCUGAGAUUAUCGAUCUAUGAGACAUCUUGAUAUGUAAAGCACUUAAUAUUAAAGGCAUAAAAGUGAAACUGCUAAAUAUGUAUAGAGAGGUUGACGUGUGAUACGUGGGACAGUUCACAUAGACAUCAGAGAAUUUAUUCCAGAAAGGAGCCUCCUGAAUGUGAUGAAUACGGCAAAGCCUUUAAUCACAUCUCAGCCCUUAGCAUCGGAAAGCUUAUACUGUAAAUAAACUUGAUGAAUAUUAUAUGUGAGGAAAACUUUCAUGUAUAGCACUCAUUGCUUCAGACAGAAAAUGAAUUCCGUCGGUAUGUUCCAAUCGUGAUGAAUUUGAGAAACAUUGCAAGAGGGAGCUCAAUCUUGGCCGGGCGCCGUGGCUCACGCCUGUAAUCGCAGCACUUUGGGAGGCCGAGGCAGGCGGAUCACGAGGUCAGUAGUUCGAGACCAGCCUGGCCAACAUGGUGAAACCUUGUCUCUACUAAAAAUACAAAAAAAAAUUAGCUGGGCACAGUGGCGCACGCCUGUAGUCCCAGCUACUCGGGAGGCUGAGGCAGGAGAAUGGCUUGAACCUGCGAGGCGGAGGUUGCAGUGAGCUAAGAUCAUGCCACUGGCACUCCAGCCUUGAGUGACAGAGCGAGGCUCUGUAUCAAAAAAAAAAGUUGCGGGGGGGUGCUCAAUCUUAACUGCAGAGGAUCUACAGAUGAAAAAAAAUGUGGGGAAAUGCUUUAAAAAAAUAGCAAAAUGUGCAACUUCUUACAAAAAUUGUUAACGUUAGGUACUUCUAUAUAUUUUAUAUGACCAUAAUGUCCGUGUGUGUUUUGUACCUUCAGUCCCUUGUUAUUGUUCCGUAUAUUACCUGUAAGCAGAUACUGUAUUUUAUUUUAGCCUAUUUGACAGAACACAUCACUCAGAAAAAGUGAAGUUUCAGAGCAAACAGUGAAGAAAUCAGUGUGAUUGUAGACAAAAAGUCGGUUCACAGAACGGAGCAGCGGGGAGAGGAAGGGAAAAGCUUCAUAGUUUGGUGCUUAUCACAUCAAGAGAUUGGUAAAUUUCUGAGGAAAGACAGGCUAAUGGGGCACUGAAAUGGAACAACUCCUUUAAACGUGCAGCCUUUUGAAUUUUUCCUCAAAACCAAGAAGUUGACCUCUGAGCUGUCAGGUGACCACUGUGUGCAAAGGGGAUGGAUUCUCUUGUCAGUAGACGGUCUUCUCCAUGAAGCGAGAGUAGGAAGUGUACUGGAAUGGCCAAGUGGGACUGCUUCAGCUGACCAGGUUCUUUUAAACCGUAGUCAUGCUUUCCCACUAACUCUUAAAUCCUUAUGCUUAGAAAAUUGAGGAUAAGGCUGGGCACAGUGGCUCAGGCCUGUAAUCCCAGCACUUUGGGAGACCAAGGCGGGUGGAUCACAAGGUCAGGAGAUCGAGACCAUCCUGGCUAACAUGGCGAAACCCCGUCUCUACUAAAAAUACAAAAAAAUAGCUGGGCGUGGUGGCGGGCGCCUGUAGUCCCAGCUACUCAGGAGGCUGAGGCAGGAGGAUCACUUGAACAUGGGAGGCGGAGGUUGCAGUGAGCCAAGAUGGCGCCACUGCACUCCAGCCUGGGUGAUGGCGUGAGACUCCAUGUCAAAAAAAAAAAAAAGGUUGGGGGGAGGAUAGGACUGGCCAGGCACGGUGGCUCACUCCUGUAAUCUCAGCACUUUGGGAGGCAGAGGUGGGCGGAUCACUUGAGGUCAGGAGUUUGAGACCAGCCUGGCCAACGUGGUGAAAGCCUGUCUCUACUAAAAAUACAAAAAUUAGCCGGGCGUGGUGGUGGGCGCCUGUAGUCCCAGCUACUCAGGAGGCUGAGGCAGGAGAAUCACCUAAAUCUGGGAGGCAGAGGUUGCAGUGAGCCGAGAUUGCACCACUGCACUCCAGCCUGGGUAACAGAGACUCUGUCUCAAAAAAAGAAAAAAAAAAAAGAAAGAAAGAAAGAAAAUUGGGGAUAGGAGAACAGCAAGGUGGGCAUUUCCCGGAAUUGUGUGCAGAUGCAUCCAGUCGUGGCAUUGCAAGAAGUCUGUCUGAUGAAGCUCGGGAAGCAUUUUGCAAUAUUCCCUUUGGCUGUGUUCCUGUGUUCCCUGCUCCCACUUUUCUUCCCCUGGUUUGUGAUUAUUAGGAGAGAGGUUUUGCAAAGACUCGUUGCUGUGAAAGAAUCUUUUUUUAAUUUUUAUCCUAGAGUCAGUCACUUUUAUUCCAGGUAGUCAUGCUGAUCUGCUUAUCCAAAGCCAGCUAACCAGGUUCAUCCUACCAUCCUCAUGGAAGACUGUGUGUAUGAAUUGGAGUAACAGAACUGAAAUACACUUAAACAGUGACAGCAGUACUUCCCAGGGUGGGGGCCAUAUUUCUCUGUGUCCUACUCUGAGCAACUUCUCAGAGAUACGAGGGGGCUAGGGUUUUCCCAUCUGGGAAAUGGGGUGAAAGUCUGCAGAUUGUUAAAUGAAAUAUAGAAUCAGAGAAAAAGAAAAGUCAGUGAUAUAAAUAGAUCAUUUCAUAGAAAUUAGGGUAGAUUUUUAUUUCAACUACUACUGGAGAAUUUAAUAAAAGGCAUUAUUUGAAAAGUUUUUCUAACAUAGAUUUAGGGUUUUUUUUUUUAGAGUGGACACACUACAUUUAAAAGCAAUUAUUUUGCUAUUCAGAUUUUUUAUUAUCUGAAAAUGAAAUUAUCUGUUUUACUUUUCAAAGCUUUGUGAAACAAACUUGAAGUUAUAGGGAGGUAAGCCAUCUCCAACUCUGCAGGUCAAACGAAAGUUUGGGAAAUACUUUUGACAUCCCACAAUACAGAAUGUCUUAACAUGAGAAUUGAAUUUCAUGAUGUGUGGUUCCAUUUAAUAGCGGACACCACCCCAAUCUCAUGUUUUCCUGUUACCCUAAAACAGUGGAAGGAAACUGGGUGUUUGGUAGACUUCUAAAUCAUGGUCUCUGACAAUUUGAAUCUGAGAUUCUCACCUCCAUUUACUAAAGAAUCGUGACUUAAUUCAAAUUGCACAGUAAUCAGUAAAGUGAAUACGUUUUUAAAAUGGAAUUUUCUCCCUUCAGCAAGCACUCAUUAAGGAGUGAGGCUGAGUAUUUUAAGAUAGAGUGAGAUCUGUGAGUGAUUGAAAGGUGAUAUUUAAAAACUUGGAUUUCAUUCCAGUGUCAGGUUUGGGUUUUAAGUUCCUUUGGUCCAGGGAAGGGUCCAAGCAGCCACAGUUGCCCUAAAUCUCCAUCAUUAAGUCUUCCAGCAAGGUUAAGUGCAGUAUGGAAGGAGAAGGGGGAAGAGGACGGUAACGGCCCCACACUCCAGGCUGAGAAAGAGUAAUUAGGAGGCCUGAGGAGGGGCCGAGGAAAGGCUGUUGGGGUGUGCUGGGGUUGGUACCCGAGCGCCUUCCCCUCACCUCAACCAGAGAAGAGCAUCCGGUUGCUUUUUAAAGCUUUUAGCCUGCCCUAGCAAGGACAAAGCAUGUUAGAUUAGAGAUGCUUCUGCUGAUCGCAGGGGUUCUUAUUUGAAAACAUCUAUGAUGGGGGUGGGGUGGGAGGAGACAGGUUGUGGUUAUGCAGGAAAAUCUUGUCCUAAAAAUAUAUGAGUUUGGGGGUAAGGGGUGGGAUAGCCAAGCAAAAUCAGUAAUUAUUUUAAAAUGAACAUAUGUAUUUUUAUUAACUUUUAGUUAAAUACAGAUUUUACAACGAGGUCAGCAUAAGCCUAAAUCUAUAUAGAGGGCUAACUCAGGCAUUGUCUUGUUUAUUUGUAGACUGGAUUAAAAACAACCUGUCCUGUUUUGUCAGUUCCCAGCUUCUUCGUUUAGAAUAAAUUAGACCAAAAGAAGAAACGUGCUUGUCUCUGUAUACCCGCAGAAUGAAGUUACUGUUGUUAAAACUGGAUUUUUUCAUUUUACUAGGUUCCGAAGAGUCCAGAUGCUUGGUAGAUGUUCAAUACGUGAUUUUUUUUUUAAUUGAAUGUGUUCAUUUAAAAUCCUCCUUAACAUUUCUAGAAAGACUUCUUUCAAUAAAUAAUGGAAUCUUAGAGGAAAAGUGGUUUUUUAAAAGCUAGGGAACUCCUCCACUAAAAGUAACCAUUGGAAACCUCGAAUGAGGGCUAAAGUUUUAAUCAUAAGAGAAAAGGCAGCAUAAUGAAAUGUGUACACAUACAUAGUCAGUGGUCCAUUUUAGGAAGCCAGUGGCGUCUGAUAAAGAAAUGUUAAGAGUAGUGAGGUUGAGGAAGGAAAUUGUGGGGAUUUGAAAUAUUCUCUUUAUGUUGUUUCUCUUCUGAGUCAUGGUAAAACAAUAAAUUAUCAUCUCUAGGUGGCA